rnacentral:ncRNA from 1 species
NNNNNNNNGCUUUGUGGUGUAGGAUCUCACAUAUGUGCCUAAAACUACCAAACUCCGGGGACAUCCUAAAGCUUCUGAUACCAAGCUUUAGUCGAAAGGCUAUACGUGGCUGAAGUAAUUACUCAGGUUUUUUAUUAGAUUGUUGAUUAAAAAAUCUAAUAGAUAAGGUAACAAGUCAGAAGAUGAUCGAAAGAGAAAUGGAUUAUCGCGGAUCUAAAUCAGUAAUACCCCAAAAUAUUACUGUAAAAGAGCAACGAGUAGACGGUAGUUGAUGCAUUAAGCCUGUCCCUAAAAACAAGGAAUUAAUGUGUUUAAGGUGUACUCUAAUGGGCUUCGAAAGAAGUUAUCAAAUCAGAAUCCUUUCUAAGGAAUUACAUAAAAAAGAUAGAAGGUUCUAUUCUACUUCAAAUAUUUACGUUAAUAAGAAUAUCAAUCCUUGAUUUUUGACUGGGUUUAUAGAUGGUGAAGGAUGUUUUAGAAUUUCUUUGACUAAAGUCACUAGAGCUAUAGGUUGAAGAGUACAACUCUUUUUCCAAAUAAACUUACACAAGAAGGAUAUAGCAUUGUUAGAAGAUAUACGUGACUACUUUGGCGUAGGAAUGAUACAUAAAUCUGGGACAAAUCUCGUCCAAUAUAGAAUACAGACUUUUGACGAAUUAUCUAUUCUAAUUAAUCAUUUGAACGAUUACCCAUUAGUUUCUCAAAAGAAAUGAGACUUUGAACUAUUUAAACAAGCUCAUGAAUUAGUUAAGAUGAAUGAGCAUUUAAAUAAAGAAGGUAUUUUAAAAAUAGUUUCUCUUAAAGCAUCUUUAAAUUUAGGACUAUCUGAAGCAUUGAAAUUAGCGUUUCCUAAUGUAAAGAAUGCCACGAAACUUACAUCUAGUACUGUAAGUAUUCCUGAUCCUCAUUGAUUUUCAGGGUUUACUUCUGCUGAGGGUUGUUUUAUGGUAGGUAUUGCUAAAUCUAAAGAGUCUACGACAGGAUAUCAAGUAUAUUUAUCUUUUAUAGUUACUCAACACGUUCGUGAUGAAUUAUUAUUAAAGUGUUUGAUUGAUUAUUUUAGUUGUGGAAGAUUAGCCAGAAAGAGAGAUGUUUAUGAGUAUCAGGUUUCCAAGUUUUCAGAUGUUGAAAAGUUUAUAGAUUUUUUCGAUAAAUACCCUAUCCUUGGAGAAAAGUCCAAGGACUAUUUAGAUUUUCGUACGGUGUCAGAAAUAAUGAGAUCAAAAGAUCAUUUAACUGAAGUAGGUGUUGCCAAGGUACGAAUAAUUAAACAGGGUAUGAAUAGAGGUCGGUAAUUUUAUUAUAGGCAAUUGGAUGAGAUUUUCUCUCUUAAUUCUAAGAUAAAUUUGCUAGGUCAGCAUUUACGCCUAUAGAUGCUGAUUGCCGUGNNNNNNNNNNN